CAGCAGCAGCCGCGGGAAUACGUAGGUGGCAAGCGUUGUCCGGAAUUAUUGGGCGUAAAGGGCUCGCAGGCGGUUUCUUAAGUCUGAUGUGAAAGCCCCCAGCUCAACCGGGGAGGGUCAUUGGAAACUGGGAAACUUGAGUGCAGAAGAGGAGAGUGGAAUUCCACGUGUAGCGGUGAAAUGCGUAGAGAUGCGGAGGAACACCAGUGGCGAAGGCGACUCUCUGGUCUGUAACUGACGCUGAGGAGCGAAAGCGUGGGGAGCGAACAGGAUUAGAUACCCCAGUAGUCCCUGUCUCUUAUAC
rnacentral:rRNA from 1 species